AAAUCUGAGGCUCAGAAAGAGUCCCACAGCUAGGAACUGGCAGGGCCAAGACUGCAACACUAAAGUCCAGCGCUUCGCCACCAUGCUGUACCCUGUCCCUAACCUGUGGGUGGGCAGAAGAGUCACUGGGACCCUUGCCUAAGAAGUUCUGGAGCCUGGG